rnacentral:rRNA from 1 species
UACGUAUGGAGCAAGCGUUAUCCGGAUUUAUUGGGUUUAAAGGGUGCGUAGGCGGGCUGUUAAGUCAGCGGUAAAAGCCCGGGGCUCAACCCCGGCGAGCCGUUGAAACUGGCGGGCUGGAGUUGGAGAGAAGUACGCGGAAUGCGCGGUGUAGCGGUGAAAUGCUUAGAUAUCGCGCAGAACCCCGAUUGCGAAGGCAGCAUACCGGUGCACAACUGACGCUCAGGCACGAAAGCGUGGGUAUCGAACAGG